ensembl:lncRNA
AACCUCAGACAUAAAUAAAAUAGAAAUCUCAGUGGGAAGUGGAGAGAGCUGUGAGCUAACCCCUGGAGACCGGGGUUCAAGUCCAGUGGAAGUCUUCUGUUGGAACACUCUUAUCACUAUUUCAUGUUAAUUAUUAAGUCAAGUAUAACCUUUGUGAUGAGUUUAUCCGGUGUCUUGAUGGUGCAUUGUUAAGUUCGGAGGUUUACACUCUAAACAGCUCAUGUUCGGAUCCCCGCAUAAAUGUCGACAGGGCUGCCACUGUUGUUAUUUAAUGGUCAACAUGGAAAAAACAUGAGGGGAAACUGUCGUUUUAUAUCGGCCGUCAUGAAAUAAAUAUAAGGGCUAACACUGUCGAUACUUAGCAAAUAAAACAUAGGGGGUGACACUGUCGUUUUUUAUCGGUCGUCAUGAAAAAAACAUGAGGGGUAACACUGUCGAUAUUUAUCAAUUAAAACAUAAGGGGUAACACUGUCGUUUUUAUCAAAUGAAACAUGAGGGGUGAUACUGUCGUUUUUCUUUCGUCGUCAUGAAAAAAAACAUAAGGGGUAACACUGUUGUUUUUUAUUGGUCGUCAUAAAAAAAACAUAAGGGGUAACACUGUUGCCUUUGUCAAAUAAAAUAUAAGGGGUAACACUGUCGUUUUUUAUUUUUCAUCAUGAAAAAAAACAUAAGGGAAAUAAUAGAAAUGCACACAUACAUUUUAAUGUCAUGUAUAUCCUCUUUAUUGAUGAUUGAUUAUUGUGUUUUGUCAUCGCCUCAGUGGUGCAGUGGAGUGCACUCUGCCUAACCCACUGGAGACCGUGGCUCAAUAUCUGUGGAAAACACAAUAUCUUUAAUUUUAAACGUCAUGCUAUCAUGUUUUUUGCACUGUCAUAUAUAACCUCAGACAUAAUUAAAACAUAAAUCGCAGUGGGAAGUGGAGAGAGCUGGGAGCUAACCCCCUGGAGACCGGCGUUCAAGUCCGGUUUAUUUCUUCUGUUGGAAGACUCUUAUCUCUAUUUCAUGUGAAUUAUAAAGUCAAGUAUAACCUUUGUGAUGACCCUAUCCGGUGUCUUGAUGGUGCAUUGUUAAGUUCUGAGGUUAACACUCUAAACAGCUCAUGUUCGGAUCCCUGCCAAAAGGUUGACAGAGGUGCCACUGCUGUUAUUUAUUGGUCAACAUGGAAAAAACAUGAGGGGUAACACUGUUGUUUUUUAUCGGUCGUCAUGAAAAAAACAUAAGGGGUAACAAUGUCCAUAUUUAUCAAUUAAAACAUAAGGGGUAACACUGUCGUUUUUAUCAAAUGAAACAUGAGGGGUGACACUGUCAUUUUCCUUGGUCGUCAUGAAAAAAAACAUAAGGGGUAACACUGUUGUUUUUUAUUGGUCAUCAUGAAAAAAAACAUAAGGGGUAACAAUGUUGUUUUUUAUUGGUCGUCACGAAAAAAAGAAUAAGG